AUCCAGCUAAUGAGUCCAAAAUAGAACGAAACCCUCAUCCUGGAU
rnacentral:hammerhead_ribozyme from 1 species